rnacentral:rRNA from 1 species
GACGAACGCUGGCGGCGUGCUUAACACAUGCAAGUCGAACGGUAAGGCCCUUCGGGGUACACGAGUGGCGAACGGGUGAGUAACACGUGGGUGAUCUGCCCUGCACUUCGGGAUAAGCCCGGGAAACUGGGUCUAAUACCGGAUAGUACUGCGCGGUGCAUGCCGUGUGGUGGAAAGAUUUAUCGGUGCAGGAUGGGCCCGCGGCCUAUCAGCUUGUUGGUGGGGUAAUGGCCUACCAAGGCGACGACGGGUAGCCGGCCUGAGAGGGCGACCGGCCACACUGGGACUGAGACACGGCCCAGACUCCUACGGGAGGCAGCAGUGGGGAAUAUUGCACAAUGGGCGCAAGCCUGAUGCAGCGACGCCGCGUGAGGGAUGACGGCCUUCGGGUUGUAAACCUCUUUCAGCAGGGACGAAGCGCAAGUGACGGUACCUGCAGAAGAAGCACCGGCCAACUACGUGCCAGCAGCCGCGGUAAUACGUAGGGUGCAAGCGUUGUCCGGAAUUACUGGGCGUAAAGAGCUCGUAGGCGGUUUGUCGCGUCGUCUGUGAAAACCAGCAGCUCAACUGUUGGCUUGCAGGCGAUACGGGCAGACUUGAGUAUUUCAGGGGAGACUGGAAUUCCUGGUGUAGCGGUGAAAUGCGCAGAUAUCAGGAGGAACACCGGUGGCGAAGGCGGGUCUCUGGGAAAUAACUGACGCUGAGGAGCGAAAGCGUGGGUAGCGAACAGGAUUAGAUACCCUGGUAGUCCACGCCGUAAACGGUGGGCGCUAGGUGUGGGUUUCCUUCCACGGGAUCCGUGCCGUAGCUAACGCAUUAAGCGCCCCGCCUGGGGAGUACGGCCGCAAGGCUAAGACUCAAAGGAAUUGACGGGGGCCCGCACAAGCGGCGGAGCAUGUGGAUUAAUUCGAUGCAACGCGAAGAACCUUACCUGGGUUUGACAUACACCGGAAAGCCGUAGAGAUACGGCCCCCCUUGUGGUCGGUGUACAGGUGGUGCAUGGCUGUCGUCAGCUCGUGUCGUGAGAUGUUGGGUUAAGUCCCGCAACGAGCGCAACCCUUGUCCUGUGUUGCCAGCGGAUAAUGCCGGGGACUCGCAGGAGACUGCCGGGGUCAACUCGGAGGAAGGUGGGGACGACGUCAAGUCAUCAUGCCCCUUAUGUCCAGGGCUUCACACAUGCUACAAUGGCCGGUACAGAGGGCUGCGAUACCGUGAGGUGGAGCGAAUCCCUUAAAGCCGGUCUCAGUUCGGAUCGGGGUCUGCAACUCGACCCCGUGAAGUCGGAGUCGCUAGUAAUCGCAGAUCAGCAACGCUGCGGUGAAUACGUUCCCGGGCCU